rnacentral:tRNA from 3 species
GCACUAGUAGCUCAGCGCCAGAGCGUCGGUCUUGUAAGCCGAACGUCGGAGGUUAAAAUCCUCCCUACUGCU